UACGUAGGGGGCAAGCGUUGUCCGGAAUCAUUGGGCGUAAAGAGCGUGUAGGCGGCUUGGCAAGUCUGACGUGAAAGCCCGCGGCUCAACCGCGGAUUGUCGUUGGAAACUGCCAGGCUAGAGUCCGGAAGAGGAGAGCGGAAUUCCUGGUGUAGCGGUGGAAUGCGCAGAUAUCAGGAAGAACACCCGUGGCGAAGGCGGCUCUCUGGGACGGUACUGACGCUGAGACGCGAAAGCGUGGGUAGCAAACAGG
rnacentral:rRNA from 1 species